rnacentral:rRNA from 1 species
UGCAGAGGUCCCAAGCGUUGUUCGGAUUUACUGGGCGUAAAGGGCGCGUAGGCGGCCACCGCAAGUCGACUGUGAAAUCUCCGGGCUUAACCCGGAAAGGUCAGCCGAUACUGCGGGGCUAGAGUGCAGAAGGGGCAACUGGAAUUCUCGGUGUAGCGGUGAAAUGCGUAGAUAUCGAGAGGAACACCUGCGGCGAAGGCGGGUUGCUGGGCUGACACUGACGCUGAUGUGCGAAAGCUAGGGGAGCGAACGGG